CAGGUUGAAGGUUGGGUAACACCAACUGGAGGACCGAACCCACUCCCGUUGAAAAGGUAGGGGAUGAUUUGUGGCUAGGGGUGAAAGGCCAAUCAAACUCGGAAAUAGCUGGUUCUCCGCGAAAACUAUUUAGGUAGUGCGGUAGGCGAACACCAUGAGGGGUAGAGCACUGAAAGAGCUAAGGGGGAGCGAUCCUUACUAAACUUUACCAAACUCCGAAUACUCAAGAGUGAUACUCACCAGACAGACAUUAGGUGCUAAGGUCUAGUGUCGAGAGGGAAAGAGCCCAGACCGCCAAUUAAGGUCCCAAAAUUAUGGCUAAGUGGUAAAGGAAGUGAAACGUCCAAAACAGUCAGGAGGUUGGCUUAGAAGCAGCCAUCCUUUAAAGAAAGCGUAAUAGCUCACUGAUCUAAAUAAGACGUCCUGCGCCGAAGAUGUAACGGGGCUAAAGCCAUAUACCGAAGUUACGGGAUUGUAUUGCAAUAGAUACAAUCGGUAGCGGAGCGUUCUGUAGGCCUGCGAAGGUGAACCGUAAGGUUUGCUGGAGGUAUCAGAAGUGAGAAUGCUGACAUGAGUAGCGAAAAGAAGAGUGAGAGACUCUUCCGCUGAAAGUCCAAGGUUUCCUGCGUAAAGCUAAUCUGCGCAGGGUUAGUCGGCCCCUAAGGCGAGGCAGAGAUGCGUAGCUGAUGGGAACACGGUUAAUAUUCCGUGACCAGUUAGGAAGUGACGGAUACAGUAGUUUGUACAUGCUUAAUGGAUUGUGUGUGCAAGUGAUGUGUCCCGGGAAAUAGCCCUAACGAAGACCGUACCCGAAACCGACACAGGUGGACAGGUAGAGUAUACCAAAGCGCUUGAGAGAACUAUGUUGAAGGAACUAGGCAAAAUGCUUGUGUAACUUCGGGAUAAGCAAGCCCGGUUUUAAGGCAACUUAAGGCCGGGGGCACAUACUAGGGGGUAGCGACUGUUUAACAAAAACACAGGACUCUGCGAAAUUGAAAGAUGAAGUAUAGGGUCUGACGCCUGCCCGGUGCCGGAAGGUUAAGGAGAGAUGUGAGAGCAUUGAACUGAAGCCCCGGUAAACGGCGGCCGUAACUAUAACGGUCCUAAGGUAGCGAAAUUCCUUGUCGGGUAAGUUCCGACCUGCACGAAUGGCGUAACGACUUCCCCGCUGUCUCCAACAUAGGCUCAGCGAAAUUGAAUUCUGAGUUAAGAUGCUCAGUACCCGCGGUUAGACGGAUAGACCCCGUGAACCUUUACUAUAGCUUUGCAGUGGUAUUAGGUAAGACAUGUGUAGGAUAGGUGGGAUGCUAUGAAGGUAGGACGCUAGUUUUACUGGAGCAGACGUUGAAAUACCACCCUUGUGUUAUUUGAUAUCUAACCUACUUCCGUAAACCGGAAGAGGGACCCUGCAUGGUGGGUAGUUUGACUGGGGCGGUCGCCUCCCAAAGAGUAACGGAGGCGCGCAAAGGUUGGCUCAGAUUGGUCAGAAAUCAAUCGUCGAGUGCAAUGGCAUAAGCCAGCCUGACUGCGAGAGAGACAUUUCGAGCAGAUACGAAAGUAGGUCAUAGUGAUCCGGUGGUCCCGAGUGGAAGGGCCAUCGCUCAACGGAUAAAAGGUACUCCGGGGAUAACAGGCUGAUUCCGCCCAAGAGUUCACAUCGACGGCGGAGUUUGGCACCUCGAUGUCGGCUCAUCACAUCCUGGGGCUGGAGAAGGUCCCAAGGGUUCGGCUGUUCGCCGAUUAAAGUGG
rnacentral:rRNA from 1 species